CCCCUCUCAGGAUUGCACCUGGAGAGUUUUCAGUACUCCACCAGUCUCAGCUACAGGAAGGAGAGUCAAGAAGGGUCAUACCUAUUCCAUUCCUAGCUUGGGCAGUGGCUAGAGAGUGGAAGGCCAUCUGCUACAAGU